rnacentral:rRNA from 1 species
UACAAAGGGUGCAAACGUUGCUCAGAAUUAUUGAGCGUAAAGCGCACGUAGGCGAUCGGCUAUGUCGGAUGUGAAAACCCCGGGCUUAACCCGAGAAAAACAUCCGAAACUGGCUGGCUUGAGUACGGAAGAGGGUCUCGGAAUUCCCGGUGUAGAGGUGAAAUUCGUAGAUAUCGGGAGGAACACCAGUGGCGAAGGCGGAGACCUGGGCCGAUACUGACGCUGAGGUGCGAAAGCGUGGGGAGCAAACAGG